rnacentral:rRNA from 1 species
GCGCGAAACCUCCGCAAUGCGAGCAAUCGCGACGGGGGGACCCCAAGUGCCACUCUUAACGGGGUGGCUUUCUUAAGUGUAAAAAGCUUUUGGAAUAAGGGCUGGGCAAGACCGGUGCCAGCCGCCGCGGUAACACCGGCAGCCCAAGUGGUGGCCAUUUUAUUGGGCCUAAAGCGUUCGUAGCCGGUCUGAUAAGUCUUUGGUGAAAUCCCACAGCUUAACUGUGGGAAUUGCUGGAGAUACUAUCAGGCUUGAGGUCGGGAGAGGUUAGAGGUACUCCCAGGGUAGGGGUGAAAUCCUAUAAUCCUGGGAGGACCACCUGUGGCGAAGGCGUCUAACUGGAACGAACCUGACGGUGAGUAACGAAAGCCAGGGGCGCGAACCGGAUUAGAAACCCCG